UUUUGGCAAUUGGAAUAUGCAUCUCCUGGAAUCAGUGGCGGUAACCCUUUGGCAUCCAUCCCAUCCGAUAAAACUUUCUGUAAUGGAAUCAUUGUCAUAAACAAUCUUAUUAACUACAUCUCCCCACUCCUUCCACGAAUUCCCAUUCAGGGCAGCCCUCCUUUCUUCCACUUGCUGAAUCUGCUAUAAGUAUGUUAGUUAGCAUCCAGGAAAUUCAUCAUUUCAUUCCUCACUAUUAUCAUGUCGUGUAAAGGUAAAAACAAAUCUACACACCUCAGUAUUUGAUUAUAUAUUUGUUUACUCUCUACCAGUUUAAUUCUCAUUUUAUAAAUAGCUGAGAUUGAUAUGGUGGCUGGCUGGUUCAUGGAUGUUUUCAACAUCGUUGACCUAAGUGGGAAACAGAGUCAUCAACGAAAUCAUUCUUGAAUAUCUCCGCCAAAUUAGUCGAAUUGAUUUUCUCUUCAAUUAUUUUCUGUUAGUUAUAUGGUUAUCAACAUAUUUUGUGGUCACUUGGGCCGAUGAGUCUUCUUGCUUCAGUCCAUUAAUUAGAUAAACAAUGUGAUUAAACAAUAUAUGUUUCUACAAGUGACUGAUAAAGACAACCUGCUCUGUAGUCACUGAUCCAGAGAGGUUCCCCAAAAUUAGAAAACUUUUUUGUUAUGUGCUUUCUGGUGGAAGCAGGAGCUGAAGAUCCUGUGAACCAAAAACCACAGCUUCUUCUCUCAAUAAGACUUGGAUGGAUCGGAAACUGGAGCAGUUAGAGAUUACUACGAAUGUGAGAAUGUUGGGGAUGAGGAUACAGGAAGGUUAUAGAGGGAGGGAUCAUGUCAUACAUUAAAGCACACACAGGCUCAUCAUGUUUAUUUUUUUUUCUUUUCAAAACCUGUGUUGAAUUCUAAGAGUUGUAUUAGCUUUCAUGGUCACAAAGAUACAAAUAUAAAUUACUAUUGUCGUCACUCGGAAACUGCUAUAUUAUCUAUUGUCACAAGAUAAUUUGAAUCA